ensembl:misc_RNA Metazoa_SRP Metazoan signal recognition particle RNA
GCUAGGCAUGGUGGUGUGUCCUUAUACUCCCAGCUACUUGGGAGGACCAUUGCUUGAGUCCAGGUGCUCUGGAAUAUAGGGCACUAUGCUGAUCCAAUGUUCACACUAAGUUUAGCAUCAAUAUGGUGACUUCCUGGGAGUGGGGAACCACCAGGUUGCUAAAGGAGGAGUGAAACUGCCCAGGUCAGAAACAGAGCAGGUUAAAACUCCCAUGCUGAUCAGAAGUGGGAUUGUGCCUAUGAACAACCACCAUACCAUUGCACUUCAGCCUGGGCAGUUUAGGAAUAC